rnacentral:sRNA from 1 species
GUUUUUGGUUAUUUUUUU